rnacentral:misc_RNA from 1 species
CAUGUAUGAUAUUAUGGGGUUUAUGGAAGAACCGGAAUGAAGCAUUGUGGAAUGUGAAAAAAGAUUAGAUCCUUCGGUGCGAGUGAACAUGGCUUCAUUGUUUCUGCAUAAUUGGUUGCUGGCUCAGGUUUUAGGUGUUUCAGGUGAUGAAACACAGGCUAAUUUGGGGACAAAUGCAAGGGAUGUUCGUUGGAGCAAGCCACAGAAAGGUUGGGUAAAAUGUAAUGUGG